rnacentral:piRNA from 1 species
UAAGUAAGUAAACUGUAGUCUCUUAAAU